CCUGAUGCAGCGACGCAGCGUGCGGGAUGACGGCCUUCGGGUUGUAAACCGCUUUCAGCAGGGAAGAAGCGCAAGUGACGGUACCUGCAGAAGAAGUACCGGCUAACUACGUGCCAGCAGCCGCGGUAAUACGUAGGGUACGAGCGUUGUCCGGAAUUAUUGGGCGUAAAGAGCUCGUAGGUGGUUGGUCACGUCUGCUGUGGAAACGCAACGCUUAACGUUGCGCGUGCAGUGGGUACGGGCUGACUAGAGUGCAGUAGGGGAGUCUGGAAUUCCUGGUGUAGCGGUGAAAUGCGCAGAUAUCAGGAGGAACACCGGUGGCGAAGGCGGGACUCUGGGCUGUAACUGACACUGAGGAGCGAAAGCAUGGGGAGCGAACAGGAUUAGAUACCCUGGUAGUCCAUGCCGUAAACGUUGGGCACUAGGUGUGGGGGGCAUUCCACGUUCUCCGCGCCGUAGCUAACGCAUUAAGUGCCCCGCCUGGGGAGUACGGUCGCAAGGCUAAAACUCAAAGGAAUUGACGGGGGCCCGCACAAGCGGCGGAGCAUGCGGAUUAAUUCGAUGCAACGCGAAGAACCUUACCAAGGCUUGACAU
rnacentral:rRNA from 2 species